rnacentral:rRNA from 1 species
ACAGCAGCAGCCGCGGUAAUACGGAGGGUGCAAGCGUUAAUCGGAAUUACUGGGCGUAAAGCGUGCGUAGGCGGCUUCUUAAGUCGGAUGUGAAAUCCCUGAGCUUAACUUAGGAAUUGCAUUCGAUACUGGGAAGCUAGAGUAUGGGAGAGGAUGGUAGAAUUCCAGGUGUAGCGGUGAAAUGCGUAGAGAUCUGGAGGAAUACCGAUGGCGAAGGCAGCCAUCUGGCCUAAUACUGACGCUGAGGUACGAAAGCAUGGGGAGCAAACAGGAUUAGAUACCCGCGUAGUCCCUGUCUCUUAUAC